rnacentral:rRNA from 1 species
AGCGAACGCUGGCGGCGUGGAUAAGACAUGCAAGUCGAACGGGAGUUUGCUUAUAGCAAUAUGAGCGAGCUCUAGUGGCGAAAGGGUGCGUAACACGUAGCUGACCUACCUCAAAGUGGGGGAUAGUCCCGCGAAAGCGGGGUUAAUACCGCAUGUGAUGGUGACAUUAAAGCUGGGGAUCGUAAGACCUGGCGCUUUGAGAUGGGGCUGCGGCCUAUCAGCUAGUUGGCGGGGUAACGGCCCACCAAGGCUUAGACGGGUAGCUGGUCUGAGAGGACGGCCAGCCACACUGGAACUGAGACACGGUCCAGACACCUACGGGUGGCAGCAGUCGAGGAUUUUUCUCAAUGGGCGCAAGCCUGAAGGAGCGACGCCGCGUGGGGGAUGAAGGUCUUCGGAUUGUAAACCCCUGUCAUCUGGGAACAAUGGUUACGACCUAACACGUCGUGACUUGAUAGUACCGGAAGAGGAAGCCGUGGCUAACUCUGUGCCAGCAGCCGCCGUAACAC